CAGUCGCCGCGGUAAUGCAGAGGAUGCAAGCGUUAUCCGGAAUGAUUGGGCGUAAAGCGUCUGUAGGUGGCUUUUCAAGUCCGCCGUCAAAUCCCAGGGCUCAACCCUGGACAGGCGGUGGAAACUACCAAGCUGGAGUACGGUAGGGGCAGAGGGAAUUUCCGGUGGAGCGGUGAAAUGCGUAGAUAUCAGGAGGAACACCUGUGGUGUAGACAGCUUUCUGGACCAUAGCUGACGCUGAGACACGAAAGCGUGGGUAGCAAACAGGAUUAGAGACCCCCGUAGUCCCUGUCUUUUAUAC
rnacentral:rRNA from 1 species